UACGGCCACGUCACGUUGAAACACGAGUUCCCGUACGAUCACUGAAGUUAAGAAUCGUCGAGUCUGGUCAGUACCUGGAUGGGUGAUCGCUUAGGAAUACCAGUU